UCGUAGACUACGACGUUGAUAGGCAGGGUGUGUAAGCGUUGUGAGGCGUUGAGCUAACCUGUACUAAUUGCCCGUGAGGCUUAACCAUACAACACCCAAGGGGUUU
rnacentral:rRNA from 4 species